rnacentral:pre_miRNA from 1 species
AAGCUACUCCCUCCGUUCGGAAUUACUUGUCUCGGAAAUAGAUGUAUCUAGAAUUAAAAUACGUCUAGAUACAUCCAUUUUCGCGACAAGUAAUUCCGAACGGAGGGAGUAGGAU